CGGACGGGUGAGUAACGCGUGGGUAACCUGCCUCACACUGGGGGAUAACAGCUAGAAAUAGCUGCUAAUACCGCAUAAGCGCACGGUUCCGCAUGGAACAGUGUGAAAAACUCCGGUGGUGUGAGAUGGACCCGCGUCUGAUUAGCCAGUUGGCGGGGUAACGGCCCACCAAAGCGACGAUCAGUAGCCGGCCUGAGAGGGUGAACGGCCACAUUGGGACUGAGACACGGCCCAA
rnacentral:rRNA from 1 species